GUCUACGGCCAUACCACCCUGAACACGCCCGAUCUUGUCUGACCUCAAAGCUAAGCAAGGUCGGGCCUGGUUAUUACUUGGAUGUGAGAUU
rnacentral:rRNA from 1 species